GGCCUAAGUUGCUUGAAACUCUUUCAGAGGGUGACACUCGUAAGGUCGGUAUCUUUAAUAUGCUUUAUGUUACCUGUGCAUUAAGCAUGGCAAAGUGUCCUAACAUCAACAUUUGAACGGUAAGGAAAAUUCAGAAUUGUCACAAAAGUUCUCCUUACAUAGUCUUCUGCAGUAGAAAGCUUUGCAUAUGCAACUUAUUGUGUUGCUUUUGCAGUCAUAAACUUCUCAUUAGCAGUUCCUCAAGAUUCACCUUGCUUGUUCUUUCUAGUCGGUUAUCUACCUACAAUUUAAUUGCAAAUCUUUGUUCAGAUGGUCUAGAUUUUAUGGUUUCCCAAACCCUGGCACCUAUAAUUCUCAAAUAUUCCAGGUCUAGCAGUUCAAAUUUAAAUUGUUGCAUUCUAAAAGUCACCAGAUUUUUUGCUUAGCUUUUCUUCUAAGCAGUUUCUUAUGGGUUAUCAAAACUGGAGUCUAAUUCUCUAUGGUGGUCUGAUGUAUCCUUGAAGAAGCCCAGCUUUUACUUAUAGAAGACACCAAGCCUAACUUAGUCCCAACAAACAAUUCUGUUCCAAUUUUUUACAUAAAUCUUUUCAAAUUAAAUCUGAGGCAGAUAUCAUUACUAACUUUGGGGUAGGACACCUCAUUUGUCAUAUAGCCUCAAUCCAUUACUUUGGUUCUCAUAAGAACUGUUUACAUUUUAAAUUGCUAUGACUUGGGAUAUUAAUUGGUUCACAUUUCUUUUGGGUGAAUUUGUUUAGAACGGUUUUUCUGGACUAGUUAUAUGCAUCUACAAUUUUGUUCACCUUUUGUAUAAAUUCAUUAAGACAGCAAUCAGCAUGCUUAAACCAAUGAAACCUGGACAAAAUACCAAAUCAUGGUCAUGAAGAAUCAAGCUUAUAUGAGAAGAUCUGCUAUUUUGCUAUAUUAUGGGAAAGUUGGUCCUGUUGCAGCCUUGCAAGCAAGAACAUGCCUUAGGUUGCAAGGAGGAAUUAUGAUACCUUGAUUAUUUAUUUUGUUUGUGACUUGACUUUUGAUGUUGUCAUAGUUUCUACCAAGGUUCGAACUUGAAAAUCUGGAGCACAAUAAGCACCUUUUUGAGCGGAUUUGUGAAAUUGCUGCAAGGAAACAAU
rnacentral:misc_RNA from 1 species